CAGAAAGUGGUGGGGAUGGGAUGGAAAGGAGGGCUCGAGGGGAAAAUGAGAGCACUGGUGAAUACAACCGGCCCCUCGCCAAGUGGGGAAGAUGGAGAUAGGGCUCGCCCCUCCCUCCCUGCCUCUGGGCUUCAAAUUCCCAUUGCCCUCACCUGAAGGAUCACACCCAGUGCGUUGUGAUGCUUCUGAUUCUUCACAAUCACCACCCUUCCCACUGAGAGAGAUUUCAGCCCAUUCACAGACUCCAUGAUGCGUCGCUGAAGGGCAGGGACGUGAAGAGAGGGGAUAAGGGAGGAAGUGUCACAGAGACACUAGGACUAAGUUCAGGAGUACCCAAAGUGUCACAGUCUCUUCCUCCCUGUCUGCCACCCCUGCCCCCAACACUCACACGCACUUACCUGGAUCAGGCCCCGGGUCUCUGUCAGUUCCUCCCCGCAGCUGUAAUACUCAGGCAGGUCAACGAGUUGGCCAGUUACAUCAGGCUCCUCCAAGUCCCCCAGCCGCUUGGUCAGUUCAGCCAGAGUCUGUUCAUGGGCCUGGGAGAAGCCAGUGUGGGUGUGCAGCAAGAGUCUCCAGGCCCAGAACCCUCCACUUUCACCCACCGGCCUCUGGAUGCCCAUCUCAUCCAGGCCUGGCUUCCCUUGUCCACAUCCUUUGCAGCAGCCUGGUCACGCCCACCUCCUCACCUUGCUGUCCUUGCGGGAUGGAAACUCAGAGAAGCUCCUCUUCAUCAUGUCCUCCACCCUGAGGGCAUCCACCCGCAGCAGGUUGAGGAUCAUGGUGUACGUGAGGCGGAACUGGGACUGCAGCUGGGACGGCUUCCCCUGGGCCGGGCCACAGAAGCCAGUGAGGCGAGGGGAGACCCGCUGCUCGGCUGCUCUGCUCUCGCUGCUCAGCAGCUCUAGUCCCAGCUCCGCAACCACGGGGCCCUAAACUGCUCGCUCACCUCUGCAGAACAAGGGAGCGACACUAAGUAAAUAGACUCUCCAAGGUCCCACCUAGCUCCAUAUUCACAGUGGAAAAAGACUAGAGAAGAGGAGAUCCAAUCUCAUCCUUGGAUUUGCUCACUCCUACCUUGGCUUCUCCCAGGCAAAAGGAAAGUAGAAAGAGGGGAGAAGGGAAGAGGGUCGGCAGAAUCUAGCAGGUGCCCAGAGCUGGCCUCGCGCUGCCCCGGCUCACCAUCAUCAUGUGGUGCAGGUCCGCCAUCUCGGGCACACGGCCCUUGCAGAGCAGGAUGACAGUGCCUGUGGGGUCCAGGCCCCUCCGGCCCGCCCGGCCUGCCAUCUGCACAUACUCCCCAGGGAGCAGGUCCCGGAAGGUGGAGCCAUCGUGCUUACGCGUGGAGUCAAACACCACUGUCCGGGCUGGCAUAUUUACACCCAUGGCGAAGGUCUCCGUGGCAAACAAGACCUGGGACGGGGGAGAGGAUCAGCAAGGGGGCUACACGCAGCUGUGACCCAGCCCUGGCCAAGCCCACCUCACUUUGUAGCCAAGGCUAAGAAGGCACCGGGCACAGUCCCAGACGGUUAACUCACAGGACCGCAUUUAACUCUCAAGGCAAAUCUACAUGUUUUCAACAUCCAUCCAUGUUCCUGUGGUUAUAUCUAAUCCACUGCUUCCAACUGCUGCAGAACACUUUGUGGGGUGCGUGUUGUACAUCUACCUACCGGCUCUCCCAGUGAAGGGGUACCACCAACACCCUGCCACAAGACUACAGCCAACAAAGGAAGAGCAGGCGUGUUCCCUCAAUGACCAGGGUGAGAAUUUCAUUGUGAUUUACACUCAGGAGUGGAAUUUAGGGACAAAGAGUAUGUAUAUACUUAUUUUUGCCUCCAGAGUGCCAGGAUGCACUUCAGACUGGCCACACCUGUACAAGGGUUCCUGUAAUCCUGCAGUCUCCUACGUCUUGGGCAACACUUGGCAUUACCCACUUUCCUAUAUUUUACCAGUCUAAUAACUGUAAAGUCCUAUCUUGCGAGUAUUUCAAUUUGCAUUCUUCUGAUGA